rnacentral:rRNA from 1 species
AUGAAGUGCGUUUCAAUUGUUGAGAAAAUUGUGAAAAUCGCCGGAGGAAAAACAGGGCAUUGCCUGAUGCAGUUCGGCCGGGAGACCUUUGCGGCUCAAAACAAAAUGUUUGAAAAACUGGAAAAGAGUAAUGCGAUUCAUCGUUCGAUAAAAAAAUGUUGCCGUACACUUGCCCUUGUCUCUGUGAUCCACUCGUUCAUUAAAAAAGUAAAAAAAAACAACAAAAGCUCGUUUGAUAAAAAUAACGUCCGACAAAACAAAUUAUGCAGCUCGCUUGCCCAUCCGAUGCGAUGCGGCUUUCAUUCAGAAGCAGUGCGGUCGGCCUAUGAUGUUGUUCAUCCCCUAAGUGCAAAAUAA